GAUGAAGAACGUAGCGAAAUGCGAUACUUGGUGUGAAUUGCAGAAUCCCGUGAACCAUCGAGUCUUUGAACGCAAGUUGCGCCCGAAGCCAUCAGGUUGAGGGCACGUCUGCCUGGGCGUCACAUAUCGUUGCCCAAUGCCUAUUGCAGUGCAAUAGGAGUUUCUAGGGCGAAUGAUGGCUUCCCGUGAGCGUUGUUGCCUCGCGGUUGGUUGAAAAUCGAGUCCUUGGUAGGGUGUGCCAUGGUAGAUGGUGGUCGAGUUAGAACGAUACCGAUCAUGUGCAUGCUCCCCAAAAUAUGGCCUCUAUGACCCACACGCGUCUUUUGACGCUCAUGACGAGACCUCAGGUCAGGCGGGGCUACCCGCUGAAUUUAAGCAUAUCAAUAAGCGGAGGA
rnacentral:misc_RNA from 1 species